GAUGAACGCUGGCGGCGUGCCUAAUACAUGCAAGUCGAGCGAACGGACGAGAAGCUUGCUUCUCUGAUGUUAGCGGCGGACGGGUGAGUAACACGUGGAUAACCUACCUAUAAGACUGGGAUAACUUCGGGAAACCGGAGCUAAUACCGGCUAAUAUUUUGAACCGCAUGGUUCAAAAGUGAAAGACGGUCUUGCUGUCACUUAUAGAUGGAUCCGCGCUGCAUUAGCUAGUUGGUAAGGUAACGGCUUACCAAGGCAACGACGCAUAGCCGACCUGAGAGGGUGAUCGGCCACACUGGAGCUGAGACACGGUCCAGACUCCUACGGGAGGCAGCAGUAGGGAAUCUUCCGCAAUGGGCGAAAGCCUGACGGAGCAACGCCGCGUGAGUGAUGAAGGUCUUCGGAUCGUGAAACUCUGUUAUUAGGGAAGAACAUAUGUGUAAGUAACUGUGCACAUCUUGACGGUACCUAAUCAGAAAGCCACGGCUAACUACGUG
rnacentral:rRNA from 1 species